rnacentral:lncRNA from 1 species
CGACACAAUAAGGGUGGCGACAUAAACAGAAGCCAGUGGUCGGCCAUAGACGAAGUUCCCGUGGCUAUGGACUAUACCGUGGCUCAGCUAGCCACCCUAGCCCAGCAUAAUCACGCCGGGACCCUUCCGCGCACCUGCAUUUGGGAAAUACCUGACGUCACGCCAUUGAUGGAGGAAGGCUGUCAUAGCACAGUGUGAAAUUACGAUAGAGCGGCGCUCAUGGGUCAAAGCAUGGGACUGAUGAAAGUAUGUGCCGCCGCCCGCGUUGGCCGUUCUUAACGGUCUGACCGCCGCCUUGGUCAGGUGCUCCGCAGCUGCUGGGGACUGAGGGCUAUGGGUUAAUUGUAGGAAUCAUAAGGGAGGGAGUGGCCGAAUACUGCACCAGGGAUGCCAAUUCCUGUGCUGGACAAGCAGCACAGUAUGAGCUUUGCAAAAUUUAGAUGUGGCAGCGAGCUAGGGGGGAUGGGGAGUGUUGCAAAGCAGUCUCAUUCUACAAGGUUGCAAAAAGUUUCUUUCAUGACUGACAGCAAUGGGAACAAGCAAGUAUAGUCUUUCGACUUUCACUUGAGCAGGAAACGAAGUUUUUUACCUGACCAAGUGCACAAAAGUAGAGAUGUCCCUGAAAAAUUGGAGCCCAUUCCUUGGUGUAGUGCCAGGACAUAAUUUGAUGUAAUUUAUGUGAGCGUGGACAUUGUGAGAACUCUUGAGGGCUUUGUAUUUUGUGCCGAAAAGAAUGAAGAAAAAAGAAGCAGAAGAAGACGAGCCAGGGACAGCUUGCGUGCUUGGCAGCAUCACGAAAAUUGAACAAGAGAAAAGGAAGAAGAAGAGAGGCGGGUGCUGAAGGAGAAGGCAAGGGGCUCGUGACUUGGAAGAUGCAGGAGCAGUGCGCUGUUCUGGGAGCACCUGCUGCAGUACCUGAGGCAGCCCUGAAGACGUGCCUGCCUGCUGGUGCAGACGUGCAGUGGUGCCUGGUGUGACGUCGUUUGGAGCAGGCCUGGCUGUUGCCUGUUUGUAGCCGCCUGUCGGAGCAGCACAAGGCCGUGUCCGGGACAAGGCCUAAUUGAUGCCUAACCGAGGCCUUAGCUUUGAGGCCGCCUCUUGCUCGAGGUGGCACGUGGAGUUGUGGCGGUGGAAGCCACCUGCCUGACACCCGUUCGAGUGUACUAGCUGGCCACGGUAAUGCAGUUGGGGGCCAUCGCCUUCCUUAUCUGAUGACCAGUGCCUUCAUGGUGUCUUGGCUCACCUCUCAUGAGAGGUUGUGUCUUGGCUCGCCUCCCACGAGAGUAAUUGUGCCUUGGCUGGCCUCCAACUAGAAUCAUCGCGACAGUCCUACCAUCAUCGUUACCAUUGGAACUGAACUUGUGAGACGUUUUCACUCCUUUCUUGAACGCUGCGCGUAGGACUUAACGUAGAUAUGUGUUUGUUUUAGUGACUUUCGUUCUGUACUCUGUGUUUACUGCUUGUUUUCUUUUACUUCUACCAUCUUCAAUAAAUGUUAGUGUACAUCUG